rnacentral:rRNA from 1 species
AUGGGCUUCAGCCCGGGCGGUGGUGAGGUGGACCGGUUGGUGCGCUGGGCCUUGGCGCCGAAUGCGUGCACAGCUGGGCCUCGCUGGAAGAGGCAGGACGCGGUCAAGCGGCUGGGACUAGCACGUGUCUGCGGUUCGGUGACGGGGUCAACGCAGCUGAGGCGCUCGCUUGGCAGGAUCGAGCAGGCAAAGCAGAAGGUUUGCGGGCGCGCUCCUCUUCUCGAGAAGAAGCAGAGCAGAGCAGCGGCGUCAGGGAUCUCCAGCGCGGUGGCGAAGGACGGAGGGCGUGGAACCGGGCGUGAAGACAACGACAGCAAUGCGGUCGGCGAGCAGAGGAGGCCAUGGCAUGGUGCUUGCCUCCUGCAGUCUCCUAGAGAGGACAAAGAGCAGAUAAGAGAGGGAACUAGAGGGAACGGGAGAAGAAGAAGGGAAGGAGAAGCAGCGGGGCAUGGUCGGUCCUGGUAG